rnacentral:lncRNA from 13 species
CAAAAAUGGGAAUACCAGCCAAUCAAAGAAGAGAUUAAUUGAAGGAGUUUGGGACUGGGCGUUUCUUUGUGAAAUUCUCGUGUCCCAGGCAGAGAAAGUAAAAGGAUGAGUUUGAGAUAUUGAAAAAGCCAGAAAUGUCUCCGUCUAGAAUUGAAAUAUCUAGCUAGUAAGGCUGACUGCAAAGGAGUUUCUACCCCGAAGUGAUCUGGCGAAGAGCAAACUGUGAGAGGAAAUUUGCACUAAUGCAACGAAGCUUGAUGGAGGCUGGUGACUUGAACAAUUGAGGAGGAUGGAAGAUCCACGGUAUAGGCGCGGAACGCACGGAGAUGUCAAAAGUGUUUCAAAGGGCUCUAUAAGGCGGUAGAAGUGAAGGGGUGGAGCUUUAUGAGCUUUCUGGAACACUAACUGAAGGGACCAGAGUAACAGGUCUGAUUAGGGUUCGGACCGUAACCACCAGAGGACUUGAAAAUGAGCCGGAGCUGAGAGCAUACAACCAUGCCGACAACCAUCUGGGGAGAUCAGUGAGCAAAGGGCUGGACAAUGGGCCGCACUGAAAUGGGCCGCAGAAUUUGGAACACCGGAUGCCCAUGGCAUGCUGCCUGGAAAGAGACAGCUUAGACUGGGAGUGAGGAGUUAGACAGAGGAGAGGACAGGAGCGGAGAGGAGUGACCAGAACCCUACACUCUACCCUACCCCUACCGGCUGCUGCAGUGUGGCUGUGCAUUGAGGUGCCACUCUGAAACCCCACUGUGAUAU